rnacentral:tRNA from 1 species
GGCGCUUUGGCCGAGUGGUUAAGGCGGCAGACUCGAAUAUCGCAAUCUGCUGGGAUUUCCCUCACAUGUUCGAAUCAUGUAGGCGUCG